ACCUGGAGGGAUGUGGAUGGAGGAGACAGGGCAGAGCUAUUAGGGCUAACAUUCAUCUCUAGAAAGAAAACGCUGGAAGGAAGCGAUGUGCUCAAGUGACCACCGACUGCAGCUGAGUGCAUAAGCAGAGAGCCAGGGCAGCUGUUCCAUCUCGACAGGCUGUUCAGUCCUCCCGGCAAGUCGAGCAUCACGUGCGCCAAUACCCCAAACCCACCAAACCCACCCGCGGUCACCCAGCCUACUCACAUGGGUUAGCGCCGUCUGCCACAAUCAACAUGCGCAGAGAGCUGAGACAGACAUCCCUCUGACCUCGCUGUGCCAAGAGCGACCAGUGCAUAUCUCGGGACUUUACCAGGGCAGCCCGGGCUGCAAAGAGAAGAGAGUACCGAUGUCUCAGGGUCACGGGGGCAGGCACACCCACACUUCAAAACACUGCUGCACUCAUCCUGUGCAGAGGCACUCGUGCAGAGGGUGAGGGGCCUGCUGCACGGACCACACUCUUGUCUGUUUAACUAUCAUCCGUUAUCUCGUGCGCUUCCUAACCCCUUCCGUCCCUUUUCUCCUCAAAACUUAAUUUGAAGAUGCAGUUUGGAUAUAAGAUGUUUAGAUCCACUCAGAGAAGCAUGGAGCACAAGAGGUAGACCGAAUCAGACA
rnacentral:lncRNA from 1 species